rnacentral:rRNA from 1 species
AGGACGAACGCUGGCGGCGUGCUUAACACAUGCAAGUCGAGCGGUAAGGCCUUUCGGGGUACACGAGCGGCGAACGGGUGAGUAACACGUGGGUGAUCUGCCCUGCACUCUGGGAUAAGCCUGGGAAACUGGGUCUAAUACCGGAUAUGACCUGCUCUCGCAGUGGGGGUGGGUGGAAAAGUAUUUUAGUCGGUAGCGAGGAGUCGGGCCCGCGGCCUAUCGAGCGUUUGGUUGGUGGGUAAUGGCCCUACCGAAGGCGACGACGGGUA